rnacentral:rRNA from 1 species
AUUGAACGCUGGCGGCAGGACUAACAAAUGCAAGUCGAACGAGUGGCGGACGGGUGAGUAAUGUCAGGGAAACUGCCUGAUGGCGGGGGAUAACUACUGGAAACGGUAGCUAAUACCGCAUACACGCAGAUGAGCACAGAUGGGAUUUGCUAGUUGGUGGGGGAACGGCGCACAAAGGGGACGAUCACUAGCUGGUCUGAGAGGAUGACCAGCCACACUGGAACUGAGCCACGGUCCAGACUCCUCCGGGAGGCAGCAGUGGGGAAUAUUGCACAAUGGGCGCAAGCCUGAUGCAGCCAUGCCGCGUGUAUGAAGAAGGCCUUCGGGUUGUAAAGUACUUUCAGCGGGGAGGCGUUACCCGCAGAAGAAGCACCGGCUAACUCCGUGCCAGCAGCCGCGGUAAUUC